UAGACGGCGUGUUCUACGAAAUCGUGUUUUGAUCCGCAGUUAUUUACCAGCGAAAAAAAUAACAGACGCGAUUUUGAAGGAACAAAGAAAGGAGGUCGGUCACCAAUGACGAGAAUAGCUUGAAAUCCACAAUCCCUCAGCCAAGAUGUCAAAAAGGCCAUCAUAUGCACCUCCCCCCACCCCAGCCCCCACAACUCAAGUGCCCAACACCCCUGGGUUUGUGGGGUACAA